rnacentral:rRNA from 1 species
UACGAAGGGGGCUAGCGUUGUUCGGAAUUACUGGGCGUAAAGCGCACGUAGGCGGACUAUUAAGUCAGGGGUGAAAUCCCGGGGCUCAACCCCGGAACUGCCUUUGAUACUGGUAGUCUCGAGUCCGGAAGAGGUGAGUGGAAUUCCUAGUGUAGAGGUGAAAUUCGUAGAUAUUCGGAGGAACACCAGUGGCGAAGGCGGCUCACUGGUCCGGUACUGACGCUGAGGUGCGAAAGCGUGGGGAGCAAACAGG